AAUCCCAGGAGGGAACAGGAAGUGGCUUGAGAAAAUAAACCCGGCUCUCUGGUCCUGUGGAUAGCGCCUCCCCACGCCAGGAAGUGGCAAGCUGGCUUGGCAGAAACACGUCUUAGUGGACACCAUUUUCCCUAGAAUCCCAACGGGGCAAAACUGCAGUCCUGACUGGAUUCAACGAAGAACGUAGAAGAACCUUAUCUGAGUUGGCAGCAUAUGGCCUAGAGUGAAGCAGCCAAGAUGGUGCUCAGGAGACCACGUUGACCUUGGAAGGACCUCGGCACGAAAGGUGCUGUGGCCCAGAUGAUGCAUCCAAUGAACCAUCACAGCCUGGCCCACGAUGCACAGUGAGUAAGAGGAAACUAGUUUACAAGUGGGACAUAGGUUGAGGGGAGUAAAAUGCCUCAGUCAAAGGAAGAGCUAUGAAGUUCUCUGAUUUACCUUUCUGCCUGUCUCUCCCGCCAGAAAGCAGGCUUCACAAGGAAUGAAGUUUUUAUCUAU